UUGGAGGGCAAGUCUGGUGCCAGCAGCCGCGGUAAUUCCAGCUCCAAUAGCGUAUAUUAAAGUUGUUGCAGUUAAAAAGCUCGUAGUUGAAUUUNGGGGUUCUACUGUUGGUCGGGCAAUUGUCUGUACUGGCAUGUGGAAUUUCUACCUUCUGGGGAACCAUCAUGUUAUUAAUUUAGCGUGGUGAGAAACCAGGACCUUUACCUUGAAAAAAUUAGAGUGUUCAAAGCAGGCUUACGUCUGAAUACAUUAGCAUGGAAUAAUAAAAUAGGACGGUGGUCCUGUUUUGUUGGUUUCUGAAUCACCGUAAUGAUUAAUAGGGAUAGUUGGGGGCAUUAGUAUUCAAUUGUCAGAGGUGAAAUUCUUGGAUUUAUUGAAGACUAACUUCUGCGAAAGCAUUUGCCAAGGAUGUUUUCAUUAACCAAGAACGAAAGUUAGGGGAUCGAAGACGAUCAGAUACCGUCGUAGUCUUAACCAUAAACUAUGCCGACUAGGGAUCGGANGAUGUUAAUUUUUCUUGACUCGUUCGGCGCCUUACGGGAAACCAAAGUGUUUGGGU
rnacentral:rRNA from 1 species